rnacentral:rRNA from 1 species
UUUUUAAUAUAUUUUUUCUGCGCGCGGGGAACAUGGCGCACGUGCGCAUUAAGUAUUACACAUGGUUUCGAAAUUUUUGACGUUUCCGGUAAGUUUUAGCUUGUGGCUCAUUUAUCACGCGUCUAAGGACGGAUAAGUAGUGUUGGCAAAGGUACCGCGUUCUAAAAGGGGUGUAAACCGUGGUGAAACUCGUGUUGGUGCGGUAGAAAGGGGUGCCGAUCAUACCAGCACUAAAGCACCGGAUCCCAUCAGAACUCCGAAGUUAAGCGUGCUUGGGCGAGAGUAGUACUAGGAUAGGUGACCUCCUGGGAAGUCCUCGUGUUGCAUUCCC